UACGUAGGGUCCGAGCGUUGUCCGGAAUUACUGGGCGUAAAGAGCUCGUAGGUGGUUUGUCGCGUUGUUCGUGAAAACUCACAGCUUAACUGUGGGCGUGCGGGCGAUACGGGCAGACUUGAGUACUGCAGGGGGAGACUGGAAAUUCCUGGUGUAGCGGUGGAAUGCGCAGAUAUCAGGAGGAACACCGAUGGCGAAGGCAGGUCUCUGGGCCGCAACUGACGCUGAGGAGCGAAAGCAUGGGGGAGCGAACAGG
rnacentral:rRNA from 1 species